rnacentral:rRNA from 1 species
UACAGAGGGGGCAAGCGUUAUUCGGAAUUAUUGGGCGUAAAGGGCUCGUAGGCGGCUUCGCAAGUGGAAGGUGAAAUCCCUCGGCUUAACCGAGGAACUGCCCUCCAAACUGCGUUGCUUGAGGCCGGGAGAGGUGAGUGGAAUUCCCAGUGUAGCGGUGAAAUGCGUUGAUAUCGGGAGGAACGCCGGCGGCGAAAGCGGUGCACUGGUUGACAUCUGACACUCAUGUGCGAAAGCCAGGGGAGCAAACGGG